rnacentral:rRNA from 1 species
UACGGAGGGGGCGAGCGUUAUUCGGAAUUACUGGGCGUAAAGGGUUCGUAGGUGGCCAACUAAGUCAGACGUGAAAUCCCUCAGCCUAACUGGGGAACUGCGUCUGAGACUGGAUGGCUCGAGUGCAGGAGAGGAACGCGGAAUUCCAGGUGUAGCGGUGAAAUGCGUAGAUAUCUGGAGGAACACCGGUGGCGAAGGCGGCGUUCUGGACUGCAACUGACACUGAGGAACGAAAGCCAGGGGAGCAAACGGG